UACGUAGGGUCCGAGCGUUGUCCGGAAUUACUGGGCGUAAAGAGCUCGUAGGUGGUUUGUCGCGUUGUUCGUGAAAACUCACAGCUUAACUGUGGGCGUGCGGGCGAUACGGGCAGACUUGAGUACUGCAGGGGGAGACUGGAAUUCCUGGUGUAGCGGUGGAAUGCGCAGAUAUCAGGAGGAACACCGGUGGCGAAGGCGGGUCUCUGGGCAGUAACUGACGCUGAGGAGCGAAAGCGUGGGGAGCGAACAGG
rnacentral:rRNA from 1 species